rnacentral:misc_RNA from 1 species
GUUGCUCAUGAGGUGGAUGAAAUACUUCUACAGGUCCCAAACGAGUAGCAUUAACAUAAUCUUGAGGACAAUGUGGUGGUACGCCAGGGAUUGCCAAGCCAAUUAACCUAAACAGUCGCAUGAACCACCCUUCUCUAUACUCUGGUCCCUUUGUGUAUAAAAUUGUGAAGCUUCUUAUUAGCUCCAUAAAUGCGUUUAUCAUCAUGGGUAUUGCCCUCAAUGGCGAG